GAUGAGGAAACUGAGACCCAGCACAGGGAAAUGACACAUCCAAGUUCACACAGAAUUGGCUUCAUCCCAGGCAGCUCUACCUGCCUGGUAUCCUGAUGAUCUCCAACAGAUCCAAUCUUACCUUCUAUCAUCCUAACAACUAGCAAAUGCUCUCCGGUAAAUAUCUGGAACUCCAAGCUCCAUCUCACUUUGGCUUUUUGAGAGCUCAACCUAGAGACCAGCAUGGAUCCAACCACAAUAAGCUUUGUAUAUGAAGCUGAGCCUGUUACCUGUACUCAAGCAUUUCGUAAGGAGAACUAAAGCAUUAAAUGUGCACUCUCAAUUCUCAGUAUCUCCCAAAGCCUGAAAUAAACAUUCUGCCUUGUUACAAAGCUGGGAAAACAAAGAAUAAAAAUGACCCUAUUGUAUGUGUUCUACAAGCAUUCCUGAGAGCCUAUUCAGUGUAAGAAACUGUCUGAGGCAUCAGAGACAAAAAAAUAAAACAUGGCCCAUAGAAAACUUCUUGCAGAUAGCCUCUGAGAAGUUCCAGGCUGGUUAGAGAGGUCACGUGAGCCAAGUGGGCAAGGUGAAAAUGAAGAUCUAAAACACAUUAUU